UGGUCUUACCAGAAGUUGCCUUGCAAGUGCCUCUCUCCCAGGUUAAAACUAGUUGAUGGGUGGGGCACCCAAAUUGUCAUCAGCACCUCUACACUGGGGCAGCCCACACAUUGGGACAACUUGACAUAGCACUAAGAGCUCAAGCAACGUUCCCUGCAUGAAGAAAUCGUCCAAGGAACACGGCUUGCCCGUUUCCGCGCACUUUUCUUUCUUCGGACACAAAUGGGGUAUCGGUGCCUUUAAAAAAUAUACCACUUCUUGAUACGCCGCUCUUCCCUCCUCGCCGUGACAGAAGAGAAGCAAAGGGAGAAAACCCUUAAGCAAAAACUGCCGGUAAAGCAACCCCAUCGGACCCUGGAGGCCACUGCCUCUCUGCAGAGAGGAGCAGGGCGUACUUCAUUCUCCUAGCUCUGGGAACACCGCGGUUUCUGUCAAUUACUUUAUUGAUAUUUUCAGAGAGGCAGAAGGCUGGCCUUGAAUCUGACAGACCUGGGCUCCAGUCUCACCUCUAACCCGUAUAUACUGACUGUGUGACCUUGGACAAGUCACUUAGCAGUUCUAGGUACAGGUGGCAGAUGCGGUCACCCAAGAGUUUGAGCCCCCUGAUCUCAGAGGCAGAAUUCCAGGUCAGAUGCUGCCGUCACUCCAGCAGGGAAGCCGCAGAAGCCAUGGUGCCAGGAGGAGAAUGCAGAAGGGCUCUGGAUCUGGAACUUGGCAACAUCAUGCUAUGUAGCAACACAGAUUCCUAUAAAUGAGACUUCGAAUCAUCCUGGGGUCAAGAGCGGUGUCUGAGGGCACACUGCUACUAGAACAGUGUGGACAUUUCUCUCUCUGAGCUAGAAACACUUGGAUUUAGAAGAACGUUAAAUGAAGUAAAAUUGUUUCUGGCAGAC